GAUGAACGCUAGCGGCAGGCCUAACACGUGCAAGUCGAGGGGCAGCACAGAAACAGCAAUGUUUUGGUGGCGACCGGCGGACGGGUGCGCAACGCGUAUGCAACCUACCUUUAACAGGGGGAUAACGGAGAGAAAUUUCCACUAAUACCCCAUAACAUCGAUCAAGGCAUCUUGAUUGGUUGAAAACUCCGGUGGUUAAAGAUGGGCAUGCGUUGUAUUAGGUAGUUGGUGAGGUAAUGGCUCACCAAGCCUACGAUACAUAGGGGGACUGAGAGGUUAGCCCCCCACACCGGUACUGAGACACGGACCAGACUCCUACGGGAGGCAGCAGUGAGGAAUAUUGGUCAAUGGGGGCAACCCUGAACCAGCCAUGCCGCGUGCAGGAAGACGGCUCUAUGAGUUGUAAACUGCUUUUAAACAGGGAUAAAGCACAGUAUGUAUACUGUGUUGAAGGUACUGUAAGAAUAAGGAUCGGCUAACUCCGUGCCAGCCGCCGCGGUAA
rnacentral:rRNA from 1 species